UACGAAGGGGGCUAGCGUUGCUCGGAAUGACUGGGCGUAAAGGGCGCGUAGGCGGCUGUCAUAGUCAGAUGUGAAAUUCCUGGGCUUAACCUGGGGGCUGCAUUUGAUACGUGGCGGCUAGAGUGCGGAAGAGGGUCGUGGAAUUCCCAGUGUAGAGGUGAAAUUCGUAGAUAUUGGGAAGAACACCGGUGGCGAAGGCGGCGACCUGGUCCUUGACUGACGCUGAGGCGCGAAAGCGUGGGGAGCAAACAG
rnacentral:rRNA from 1 species